AGUGAACGCUGGCGGUAGGCCUAACACAUGCAAGUCGAACGGCAGCACAGUAAGAGCUUGCUCUUACGGGUGGCGAGUGGCGGACGGGUGAGGAAUACAUCGGAAUCUACUUUUUCGUGGGGGAUAACGUAGGGAAACUUACGCUAAUACCGCAUACGACCUACGGGUGAAAGCAGGGGAUCUUCGGACCUUGCGCGAUUGAAUGAGCCGAUGUCGGAUUAGCUAGUUGGCGGGGUAAAGGCCCACCAAGGCGACGAUCCGUAGCUGGUCUGAGAGGAUGAUCAGCCACACUGGAACUGAGACACGGUCCAGAAUCCUACGGGAGACAGCAGUGGGGAAUAUUGGACAAUGGGCGCAAGCCUGAUCCAGCCAUACCGCGUGGGUGAAGAAGGCCUUCGGGUUGUAAAGCCCUUUUGUUGGGAAAGAAAAGCAGCAGGUUAAUACCCCGCUGUUCUGACGGUACCCAAAGAAUAAGCACCGGCUAACUUCGU
rnacentral:rRNA from 1 species